GCAGUAAGACAAAGGAUGAUGAAUAAUGAAGGGACGGGGGAUUACAAGGGCAAGAUGGAAAUUCAGGUGAUUGUGAAGUCAAUGGUGGUGAAUGAAAGAACAAGGAUAUGCUUUAAACUGGGAUUCAUCAUAGGGUCACAAAAUUAAAUGGCUAUAUGAGUUAGCCAGGCAAUGAAAAUCAGUGAAAUGGUCCAGAUGGAACACGACAAUGAGCAAUGUGGCCUGGAAAUCAGAUGGCCAGAAGAGAGGUGGCAGCUCCACCUUGAACCCCUGUGAGUACUGAUGUAUGCAAUGUGCAUCCAAACUUUUCCUGAUUUUUAAGAGAAGUCAGAAUUUUGAAUGCCGAUAUAAAGUCUGUUUGCAUAUAAAUCCAGGAAACCAAGGCAAUCGAAUUUUUGAAGAAUACAGCAGGAAGGGUCAUAAUCAUCUGCAGUUUUCAUCUGGAUCACCAGCUGUCAUUCUGCGUAUCCUACUUACCUCAAGGGGCAACUUCAGUCUUGAAAACAGAACAUCAUAAGAUGUUGGUGCCACUUGAUCCAACUGGAAAAUACCAGCAUUUACAUUUUUAUUUUACAGAUGCAGAAAGCAGUAUUUAACUGACUGGCUGUCACUCACAUCAUGAGUCAGAAGCAGCCUUAAAAGAAUGGAUCCCUUCUGCUAUUUAAAAAUAUAAUCUUGGGUCUAAUGAUUGAAAUUACAUGUUUGGAUCAUUGAGGAAUAAUGAAAUACUUUGGACUUGAGCUAUGUGGGUAAAUGAUUGAAUGAUGCAAAGGAACUUUGGUUGUGGAGCCUGUGUACAGAGACAGCGCAGGGAAUGUCCAGUAAUACUAUUGUUACCUUAGAUUCUAUGUUAUGCAUUGAAAUAAUCAUGGUUCCAUGGUUGUAUUUAGUAAGUCACUUUAGAAAGCAACAGUUUUGAAAUAAGAAGCUCUGGAAAUGCCAGGCUAGAGCUUUGUUGUGGCCACUAGGUACAGGGGACAGGAAGGAAGGAAAAGUGAACAGAAAGAGUGGAGGAAACACCGCAUGUGGCACAGUUCCAGAAGUCCCUAUGCUUGCCCUUGGGUAGAGGUGGCAUCUACCACUACUAACUCUUUUUUGGCUCUUCUGUUUCCUCUGAUUUUUAUAAAAUCAGCCUGAUAUAUUACUUCAUAACAGAGUUAUGAAAAAAGAUCUUUGGAAUCCCAACCUUUGAAGCUCUACCCUCCCUUUACUCUAAAGGUCAGUCAAGGGCGUACAUAGAGAUUUCUGACAAAAUAUUAAUAGAAUGUGAAUUGUUGCUAGAGUCGGAUUAAUUAAGCCAUAUGAUAGAGCUUCACUAAAUUUCUUAAGGUCAGGAGUGAGGGCUUUGUUAAAGAAAAUAUUUUAAAGUAGCCUCAGUAGCAUAUUAGAAAAUGUGAUGAAUUUGGAGGUUGUGGUCAUAAAUUUGACUUGGAACUCUGCCAUUUUUUACCAACUGGGUGAUAUACAGCAAGUCACAUAGCUUCUUGUGCUCUUUGAUAACUAUGUAUCUUCAGAUGCAUAUGUCAUGAGUUUUUGUGAUUGUUUCUAAAAUAUCUUUUUUCUUUUAUGAAAAUAAAUCUAUGCUUAUUAUUAAGAAUAGAUAACUUCAUUAUCUAAUGUGAACUAUUGUAUUAGAAUGACUACUAUAAAGAACAAUGCCAUAUUUCAGAUACUUUAAGGAAUUUUUAUAUAAAAAUAUAAAAAUCUAAUAGAGAAAUGAACUCACAAUAAAAGUCAGUCUACAAUAAAUAAAUCAUAUAAUAUUAUUCCAGACAAUGAAUUAUUGAAGUGAUUGAAUGAAACAAAAUAACUUCUAAAAUAGUUAAUAUUCUUUAACAAUUUUACACCAUAUUCCCAUAAAACGUAAGCUGUACUUCUUACAAAAAGCAUAACUUAAAAAAUUCUAAAUUUGAAAUAAGUUCAAAUUUACAAAAGGAAAACAAAGAAGUUGCAAACAUAAUAUGUUGAUUUCCCAUAUACACUUUACUUCUCCAAAUGUUGUCUUACACAGACACAGUACAAUUUAUCAAAAUCAGAUCAUUAAUGUAUCCAAUACUAUUAACUGAUUUUUCAGAUUCUACUCACAAUGUUCUAAUUGUCCCAUUCAUAUCCUCUUUCUAGUCCAGUAUCCAAUUAAGGAUCUUAUAUUGCUGUAAGUUUCAUGUCUCCUUAGGCACAUACAAUGAAAAGAAUUUCUUAAUCUUUCUUUGUCUUUAUGUCACUUUAUCUUUCAAGAGUACUGGCCAGUUAUUUUUUAGAAUUUUUCUCCAUUUGGCUUUGUUUGAGAAUUGCUGUGAUUUGAUUGAGGUAUUGCUGGCCAGAAUAUCCCUGGUGUGAAUGUUGUGUCUUUCCUGGCACAUCAUAUUAGGAGGUACAUGAAGUCAACAUGCCUCAUUCUGGUUACUUUAACUUUGAUCUCUUGGUUAAGGUAACUUUAAUUUUUAACCGUGUAAAAUAAAUGAAAAUUAUCAACAUUUCAGUCUUCUUUAAAAAAAAUUUAGCAGUACAUAUAACUCCUAAUUAGGUGCUAUCUGAAAUUGAGCCUAAUAUAAAGUAUAAUAAUUGACCCUCACUAGACAGGGGAUUCUAAUAAAAUAUCAUUAUACAUUUUGGUAAGCUUAUUAAAACUUAAUAAUAGUAUAAAAUAAAAACAUUAAUUCUUUCUAUACUUUGAUACUUUUGUUACUAUUUACAUGGAGAUAAAAAUAGUCUUAGCUACAUUAUGGAGAAAUCUAAAUUUAAUUUAUAAAGUUUAAUAUAGCUUUAGUAAAAGAAUAUUGUGACACAUGAGAAGUAUUUGAGCAAAAAUUUUCUUUGCUAAUUUUGCUUUUUAAGAUUGUUUCAGAGCUGUGAUAUCCAUUUCACUAUUAAAAUGUGGCUUAUGACUAGUAAUUUCUUAGGUGUUCUGUAACACAUCUGUAAAGGUUAAGUGACAUUUUCUUCCAUCUUCUUUGAUUCUACUAGUGUCUCUGAUGAUUUUCCCCAAAUCAUAAAGCAGGCUUUCAGACAUUUUCAGGACAUUGAUACAAUGCCCCUUAAAGGUGUUUCCUUGGGUUUUGAUUUGCAGCUGCUUCAUAGACUCCUGAGGGCUAUGUCCCAUUUCCCCAGGGAGAGUAUCUCCUCAUCUUGCAGUUGGAGAGAUGUUACUUCUUAUAUUUAGAGAUGAAAACAGUAAAAUAGAGGUUUGUCUUUAAAGGGAAGCAUUCACAGCUCAUUUUAAUGCUUGGCCUUUCAAGACAAGAUAAGAAGCUAAAUAAAACAUUUUUCUAUAACAAC